GAGAGCGAGGAAAAAUCCGGGGUUCAGGAUAGCCACUUGUCCUCCUCGUUCCUUACACUCUCAAUCGCGCGACCGUAUCUCAACGCCGUCGCCGAAAUAGUUGUGUUUUCCUUCAACAUUCUUCGUAGAUAGGGCGCCAUUGGCUCUCGCUUGUUCGGAUUUCCAUCAGAUCUAGGGCUUCUGCCGAUCUGUUCACUUGUUUGUUCCAUGGGAAAUUAGGGGAUUACUCUCUCAGUUGUUCUUUAAUUUUCCCGGAAAGUACAACGAUUAAUCUUCGUUUUUUCAUCUUCUGUGUGCGCGCUAACAACUGCUUGGACAUAUUGGCGAAUCUUAGUCUUCUCUGCAAACGAGCUGGAAAUUUCUUGUUGAGAUUGGGUAUUUGCACGCCAAGACCCUCUCAUUGAGGCUUUAUCAAGUUAUUGAUCUUUUCGGUUACCGGUGGUGCGUUUUUAUCGGAAUUUCUUCUCUUCAUUUAGGGUAUUGGAGUGCUGUGGCGUAUAUUUUAUGUUGUGGAAGCUUUGGUGGGUUGAUUUGGUUUUGGUUUAGGUUUAGGUUUAGGUUUAGGUUUUUGAGACUCUAGUGUUUGAUAUUGGAGCAAACCUAAUUAUCGCGGAGAAUUAGGUUUGAUGGCUGAUCGUAACUCGGUGGUCGCAAGACCAAUCUGGAUGAAGCAAGCUGCAGAGGCGAAACUGAAGAGUGAGGCUGAGAAAGAUGCAGCGGCUAAAGCUGCUUUCGAAGCUACUUUUAGAGGCGUAGAUAAGAAUCCUGUAAAAGAAGCGGCAUCCUCAGAUAGUGAUUUUGAUGAUACUGAGGACUUGGAACACAAGCCGAUUGGGCCUGUUGACCCUGCUAGAUGCACAGCAGCUGGAGCAGGUAUAGCUGGUGGCACGGCCUGCGUGCCAGCUUCGUUUACUGUGGUAACUAAGGAUGGCGAUGGGAGGAAAGUUCCUCAUGGUGGCGCGCAGAUUAAAGUAAAGGCGUCGCCUGGUGUAGGUGUUGGUGGAACCGAGCAAGAUGGCAUUGUGAAGGAUAUGAAUGAUGGUACAUAUACGAUCACUUAUGUGGUGCCAAAAAGAGGGAAUUAUAUGGUUAAUAUUGAGUGCAAUGGAAGACCAAUCAUGGGUAGUCCAUUCCCAGUGUUCUUUAGUGCAGGCUCGAGUUCUGGUGGACUCCUGGGUUUAGCUCCUGCAUCAUCAUUUCCAAAUUUGGUCAAUCAAAAUAUGCCCAACAUGCCUAAUUAUUCAGGGUCUGUUUCGGGGGCAUUUCCUGGUUUGAUGGGAAUGAUUCCAGGUAUUGUAGCUGGUGCUUCUGGUGGUGCUAUCUUGCCUGGAAUUGGAGCAUCUCUUGGUGAAGUAUGUCGAGAAUACCUUAAUGGUCAAUGUGCGAAAACGGAUUGUAAGUUAAAUCAUCCACCUCACAAUUUGCUCAUGACUGCAAUAGCUGCAACAACCAGCAUGGGAACUAUUAGUCAAGUGCCCAUGGCACCUUCUGCUGCUGCUAUGGCAGCUGCUCAGGCCAUUGUUGCUGCCCAAGCCCUUCAAGCCCAUGCUGCUCAAGUGCAAGCACAACAAGCUCAGUCUGCGAAAGACUCUUCUGGUUCAUCUGACAAAUCUGGGAAGGCUGCUGAUGCACUGAAGAGAACGCUGCAAGUUAGCAAUCUUAGCCCACUUCUCACCGUGGAACAGCUGAAACAACUUUUUAGUUUUUGUGGAACUGUUGUUGAAUGUACCAUUACUGAUUCAAAGCAUUUUGCUUACAUAGAAUACUCAAAGCCUGAAGAAGCUACUGCUGCAUUGGCAUUGAACAAUAUGGAUGUUGGAGGUCGACCUUUGAAUGUAGAGAUGGCAAAAUCACUUCCACAGAAACCAGCUGCCAUGAACCCUUCACUUGCUUCAUCUUCUCUGCCCAUGAUGAUGCAGCAAGCUGUAGCCAUGCAACAAAUGCAAUUUCAGCAGGCUUUGUUGAUGCAGCAAACUGUGACAGCUCAGCAGGCCGCUAAUCGUGCAGCAACUAUGAAGUCUGCAACAGAGUUGGCAGCAGCUAGAGCUGCAGAAAUAAGCAAAAGACUUAAAGUUGAUGGAAUUGGGGAUGAAGAAACUGAGACAAAAGAAAAAUCAAGGUCACCUUCCUUGCCCAGGGAGAGGUCAAAAUCCAAAUCAAAAUCACCUAUGAAGUACCGAAGUAGGCGGAGAUCACCAACUUAUUCACCUCCAUAUCAUCACUCAAGAGAUCACAGAUCUCGCCAUUAUUAUAGAGUUGAAGAUGACCGGAGGUCUUAUAGAGAAGCAAGAGAUGUUAGUGAAAGAUCUAGACGGCGAGAUCUAGAUAGAUCAAGAAGUCAUCGCUCACCCAUCUCAAGGAAAAAUAGAAGCCGAAGCAUCAGUCCUCGCAGAAGAAAAUCGUACAGAGCAGAUUCAGACUCUCCAAAUCGCCCAAGGGAACGUUCACCCCAAAGAGGUAGGAAAUCAGAUCAUUCCGAUUUAAGAUCACCAAGUCGUCAUCAUGGGAAAAGCAGAUCAUCCCCAAGAAAUGAUGAUGUUGACAAACUAAAACGUAGAAGACGAUCAAGGUCUAAAUCUCUUGAGACUAAGCAUCAUUCUGAUGAAAAAACUAAUGAAAUGCAACAUGGAAAAUCAAAGAAUCGGGAUAGAAGGAGGUCAAGAUCUGCUUCACUUGAAGACAAGCAUAGUAAAAGAAGAUCAUCACCUAGAAGCAUGGACAAGAAUGUAUCUAAACAUAGAAGGCGGUCCAGAUCAAACUCUAGGGAGAAGGUAGAUGAUACCUCAUCGAAAUAUCGUAGUAGAAGACGAUCACGGUCAAGUUCUUCAGAAAGUAAACAUCUCACUGUUAAUAAGUUGGAUAGCACUAGAGAUGAAAAGGUAAGACAUCGUAGCAGAAGAAGAUCCAGGUCAAGAUCUGUUGAUGGUAAGCAUUGCAGGAAGGAGAAAUCAGAUAGAAGCAGAGAUAAAAAGCCCAGACAUUAUGAUAGAAGGUCAUCCAGAUCUAUAUCUCCUGGGGAUAGACAUCAAAGAACGACCAGGUUGUCUCCUACCAGUUCUGAUGAAAAUGAACCUAAACAUAGAAGGAGUUCGCUAUCUCCUGAAGAUAAGCAUCGUGUUCAUGUUACCGACAUAGAUAAUGGAUCAGUAGCUGAAAAUUCAAAGCAUCAUGGGAGACAGCGGUCCAGGUCAAUUUCAGGAGAGAAUGGACAAGGAAUUUUUUCUCUAAGCACGGAGGAAAAUGAAUUUAAAGAUGGAGAGCAUUCAAUACUGGAACCUGUAGGAGGGCAUGAAGCUAGUCUCUCAAAGGUUAUAGAUGAUAUGCCAACAGAAGUUGAUCAGGGUAGAAAAGGGUUAAAUUCCCAAUAUUCCAAUGUUGAGGAAUCGAGCAAAAUUGAAAUGUCUGCCAUUGAGCAAGUUGAUUAGUUGAUGCAAUUUCUGGCGAUUGACGUUGAGGAGGCAGAGUUAAAUUAAAAAUUUGACAUGGAAGCGGUUUAGUGUAUCUCAUAAAUCACAAAAACAGUUGCGGACUUGAAUACCUUCAUAACCCGGAUCAAAUUUCGUUCUCAACAAUUUUAGCCAGGCUUGAUGGCAUAUCCAAAGGCAUCCAUUGCUGCAUCAUAUGAGAAAGGGCUACUUGAUAGAAGAUUUGUUUGCAUUUCUUUGGGUGCUCAGAAAAUUCUUCUGAUUUCUAGUUUUCAUCCAUGUCUUUUGUCUUUGAUUAUCUCUUGCAGGUUGAAGUUGGUCUGCUUUAAGCGUUUGAAGUCUUGCUGUCCUUUUGUCUACAAGACAAGACACCCAGUAUCUGUAGCGAGCUUCUUUUAAUACUUGAUGUAUGUUGAACUCUAUGACCUCCUUGUUUCAUGGUGAAUUUGCGAUAAAAUUGUCUGCACCAGGAUUGAUGCCUUAGGAAUUGAAGUUAAUCGGGGUGAUUGUCGUUGGAGGUUUAUCGGGUUGAUUUUCUCUUGUUUACACAAAGGCGAAGCUAAUGUUAAAGGUCGAAACCAAAUGUUGCUGGGAUAAAAUGCUUCAAAAUCUCAUCCUUCUGGGUAUGAUCAGAAUGGCUGUCUCACUUGGAAGCUUUUCUGUUAUUGGUGAAUUGCAAACAUAUAUAUGUAUAUAUAUAUACACAACAGGUAUUUUUUGUAUGCUUGGUUGAAGAAGAUAUUUAUAGGGGAAAUCUAUAGCAGUUUAUUUGAUUA